UUACUAUGUCUGCAUCUGUGUAUCAUUAACCAUGUAACCAUGUAUUGUCAAAUUCAGAUGACACAAUUCUCAUUACCACCUGCAACUCAUCAAACAAUAUUAUGCAUACUUCACUCAAUACUAUUCUCUUAGCCUAAUAAAAAUUAAGGAAACAUACCAAUAAGAUGUAAGAAAAAUAUGAAACAAAAAUCGCUUGGACAAAGGGUUUGUGCAACUUCAAAAAUAUUACAGAAUGUGAGACAAAAAAAAAACUAGACAUUAAGCGUCUAGGUGGUAGCUACUGCAUAAAUAUUGUAGGACAAAGAUAAAAAAAUCUGACCAAAAAGUCAGUAAGUUUAAGUAAUGCACAGUUGAUUUCUAUUGAGUAAAGUCUCAUAAUUUCAGGUUUGUGUACAGAAAAAAUCAUUCAGAAAAGUUACCUGUGGUUUAGUUAAAAAACAAUUGUGUUUGCAAAAAGAUGUUCAGCAAUUUUGGCUAACGUUAGCUUUCCCCCUCUCUAGGGACAAAUCACAAAAGUGAAGCAGAGAGAUCACAGGUCC
rnacentral:lncRNA from 1 species